rnacentral:rRNA from 1 species
CCUACGGGUGGCAGCAGUGAGGAAUAUUGGUCAAUGGGCGCGAGCCUGAACCAGCCAAGUAGCGUGAAGGAUGACUGCCCUACGGGUUGUAAACUUCUUUUAUAAAGGAAUAAAGUGAGGCACGUGUGCCUUUUUGUAUGUACUUUAUGAAUAAGGAUCGGCUAACUCCGUGCCAGCAGCCGCGGUAAUACGGAGGAUCCGAGCGUUAUCCGGAUUUAUUGGGUUUAAAGGGAGCGUAGAUGGGUUGUUAAGUCAGUUGUGAAAGUUUGCGGCUCAACCGUAAAAUUGCAAUUGAGACUGGCAGCCUUGAGUACGGUUGAGGUAGGCGGAAUUCGUGGUGUAGCGGUGAAAUGCUUAGAUAUCACGAAGAACCCCGAUUGCGAAGGCAGCCUACUAAGCUGCCACUGACAUUGAUGCUCGAAAGUGUGGGGAUCAAACAGUAUUAGAUACCCUAGUAGUC